rnacentral:rRNA from 1 species
GACGAACGCUGGCGGCGUGCUUAACACAUGCAAGUCGAACGGAAAGGCCCUGCUUUUGUGGGGUGCUCGAGUGGCGAACGGGUGAGUAACACGUGAGUAACCUGCCCUUGACUUUGGGAUAACUUCAGGAAACUGGGGCUAAUACCGGAUAGGAGCUCCUGCUGCAUGGUGGGGGUUGGAAAGUUUCGGCGGUUGGGGAUGGACUCGCGGCUUAUCAGCUUGUUGGUGGGGUAGUGGCUUACCAAGGCUUUGACGGGUAGCCGGCCUGAGAGGGUGACCGGCCACAUUGGGACUGAGAUACGGCCCAGACUCCUACGGGAGGCAGCAGUGGGGAAUAUUGCACAAUGGGCGGAAGCCUGAUGCAGCAACGCCGCGUGCGGGAUGACGGCUUUCGGGUUGUAAACCGCUUUCGCCUGUGACGAAGCGUGAGUGGCGGUAAUGGGUAAAGAAGCACCGGCUAACUACGU